AUUUUCAGGUACCGAUCACUAGAGUUAUUAAUAAUGAACAAUAAGUCAUGGUGUGAGAGUUACUUUGUAAUUCAUCAUACCUUUAAUAUAAUGGUUGAUCUAUGCACCAAACUCAAUUGAACAUCCGACAGAAAUAUGUUCUCGUUUGAUGGCGCUAUUAAGUUGAUAUGCAGCGACACGAUAGACAAUGUAGCAGAACUGUACUAAUGGUCACCCAUUCAAUUUAUUGUGAAUAACAAACCAUUUUGAAAUAUAACCUCUAGCGCAUGUUGUUCUGCAUUAUUGGACAUAAAGUGAUGAAUUCUAUAAUUUUGGAAUCUAAUAUGUAUAUCGAAAAUUUAGACAUAAUGUCAACUUUCUAUCUGUGCCCUAGGAAGCAUUGAAAUUAAAAAGUAAUUUGGAGUUUGGAGGUUGGCAGUGCAAUAGACGAUUAAAUAGAAGAAACUUGUUGUUUUGAAGAAAGAACCUUUACUUACAGCAAAAUAACUACAUACAUUUUGGUUUUCCCAGUUAUUUUCCACAGAAGUUUUUACAGGACUCAUACGCGAAAUCUAAGUAAAUGAUCUGUAGUGUUGCAGUUAAGGAUAACGAAAAGGAGCAUCUUAUUAAUUGGAGAUAACCAACCUAGAAUCAAGAA